CACUGUACAUGGCAUUGAUAUGAGUCAGAAACAUUUAUUCUAGUGUAAAAAUUGACUUCAACGUGUAAAUAGUAUAAUUUUGGUCAUAAAGUCAGUCCGGUCUAAAACGGAGUUUGGAACAGUGCAUCACAAUGAGUGAAUUAAGGUUGGUAUUGAAUUAGUGCCGCACGGUUAAUCGAAUUCAGAUCGAAAUUGCGAUAUUGACAUAUGCAAUAUCCAUAUUGCGAUUUACUCAUUUCUUUGACACUCCAUUAAUACAACAUAACGCAAUGUAUGCUUCCAGCAGAAUGCACAGCCAACAACUAUGGUUUGCAUGCCCUGCCAAAAGGACCCUUAUUGCACAGGGAACAACUAUGGCCUGCCCUGCCGAAGAACCCUAUCAUGCAGAAUAAGUGGAUGGAGUUUGUUGGUUCCCAGUGGUGACAAAGUGUACAGUUGGGUGCCAGACUGAUGCCCUUGGUUUGUACGGAUCCUGGGACCUACAAGAAGGAACAAAGCUUGUCAGGCAAGACCUCAGAAUAAAAGUGUGUAAUGGAACUGAAGUACCCUUGUGACACUUCCUUCGUUGUUGCCAGAGUCUCCCUCGACUCCUAUGAAAAGGAGUUACUGCCCUGAUGACACAGAUGGCUUCAUCAACAACGAUAGGCCCUCCCAGUCAACAUCACCUCAUAAUAUUGCCUGCUGCAGUUGUGGAGACGUCCAGUUUGCAGCAGGACAUGCAGCAUAGAGAAGACCAGCAAGGGGGCCCUCAUCGGCCUCAUGCAGACAUGCCCUCGUUAUGAACAUUCCUAUGAAUGGAACGGUCAGCCACAUGUUGGCAAGUAUAUGGCCAGCAACCUGCACCUGUCAGCACCAACAGCUUUCACAGGCUCCUCAUUUGUACACAUACAGAAGGUAACCCACUUCAUUACUUUGAAACAUUUGAUAACCCAAUUGUGAAACAUCAUUUAUGUAAACUGACACUAUUUGUUGUUUAUUUUCUACUUCUUAGAUGCAUAUAAUAUCCAGGGCAUAACCUAGCCUAGUGGAACCAGCCUGAUUGCUGUGUUCACCAUUCUAUUUCACUUCACAUGUUAUGAUAUCUGAAGUGAAAUAGAAAGGUGAACGGAGCAAUCAGGCUGGUUCCUCAAGGCUAAUCAUUAAUAAUGUAAUCAGUGCUCUGUGUGUGCGUGCGCGACCGAUCGACCGACCGACCAGUUGUGGCCAGGAGCUGAUCUACGCUGCUAUGGCCAUCAAUGAGGCUUGGGUAAAGAUCUCACCUCCAGCUUCACCUCUUGCCUGCUCACCAACUGUCGUCGAUGGGGAGACCAGAAUUGGAAACAUGUAUGGCGCCAGCACAUGGAGACUUGCAAGAUGAUGUGAUGAAGUCCGGACUGACAGAUGGGCUUGAAAUAUAUGUUUUACUACACAA